AUUCCAAUCGAACUCGGAGAUAGCUGGUUCUCCCCGAAAUAGCUUUAGGGCUAGCGUUAUCUUAGAUUACCGGAGGUAAAGCACUGAAUGGGCUAGGGGGCGAUAAGCUUACUGAACCCUAUCAAACUCUGAAUGCCGGAUAAUUGAUGGAUAGCAGUCAGACAGUGUGAGAUAAGUUUCAUUGUCAAAAGGGAAACAGCCCAGACCCACAGCUAAGGUCCCAAAUGUAUGCUAAGUGGAAAACGAUGUGGAGUUGCGAAAACAACCAGGAUGUUGGCUUAGAAGCAGCCACUCAUUAAAAGAGUGCGUAAUAGCUCACUGGUCGAGUGACUCUGCGCGGAAAAUAUAACGGGGCUAAGCAUACAACCGAAGCUUGGGAUUGUCUAAAGACAGUGGUAGGGGAGCGUCGUGUAUGGGGUGAAGUCGCAUCGGAAGGAGCGGUGGACUGUACACGAGUGAGAAUGCCGGAAUGAGUAGCGAGAAUUAUGUGGGAAUCAUAAUGGCCGAAAAUCUAAGGUUUCUUGGGGAAGGUUCGUCCGCCCAAGGUAAGCCGGGAGCUAAGGCGAGGCCGCAAGGCGUAGUCGAUGCACAUACGGUAAAGAUUCCGUAGCCGCCGAACUUUAAGUCAGAGGGACACUUGCAGAUAGCGGAACCCAGCCGUUGGUUGAGCUGGGCGAAAGGGACUGAAAUUAGUAGGGAAGUCCGCGAUGCUGAAAGGCGAGAAAAGCUCUGAUGGAUACUAAGGCGCCCGUACCGCAAACCGACACAGGUAGAUGAGGAGAGAAUCCUAAGGCCAACGGGAGAAGGGUUGUUAAGGAACUCGGCAAAUUGACCCCGUAACUUCGGAAGAAGGGGAGCCCCGAAAGGGGCCGCAGUGAAUAGGCCCAAGCAACUGUUUACCAAAAACACAGGUUUAUGCUAAAUCGAAAGAUGACGUAUAUGAGCUGACGCCUGCCCGGUGCCGGAAGGUUAAGAGGAGAGCUUAGAGGCAACUCGAAGGUUUGAAUUGAAGCCCCGGUAAACGGCGGCCGUAACUAUAACGGUCCUAAGGUAGCGAAAUUCCUUGUCAGGUAAGUUCUGACCCGCACGAAUGGCGUAAUGAUUUGGGCACUGUCUCGACAGCCCGCCCGGCGAAAUUGUAGUACUGGUGAAGAUGCCAGUUACCCGCAACUAGACGGAAAGACCCCAUGGAGCUUUACUGCAGUUUAAUACUGGGAAUCGGUAAUGCAUGUACAGGAUAGGUGGGAGACUUGGAAGCAUAGUCGUCAGGCUAUGUGGAGUCACCGGUGGGAUACCACUCUUGUAUUGCUGGUUUCCUAACCUGCGGCCGUGAAUCCGGUCGGGGGACACUGUUAGACGGGCAGUUUGACUGGGGCGGUCGCCUCCAAAAGAGUAACGGAGGCGCUCAAAGGUUCGUUCAGCACGGACGGAAAUCGUGCAUUGAGUGUAAACGCAUAAACGAGCCUAACUGCGAGACCGACGGGUCGAGCAGUAACGAAAGUUGGAGUUAGUGAUCCGGUGGUAUGUGAGUGGAAAUGCCAUCGCUCAACGGAUAAAAGCUACCCUGGGGAUAACAGGCUGAUCUCCCCCAAGAGUCCACAUCGACGGGGAGGUUUGGCACCUCGAUGUCGGCUCAUCGCAUCCUGGGGCUGAAUUCGGUCCCAAGGGUUUGGCUGUUCGCCAAUUAAAGCGGUACGCGAGCUGGGUUCAGAACGUCGUGAGACAGUUCGGUCCCUAUCUGUCGUGGGCGCAGGAUAUUUGAAAGGCGCUGUCCCUAGUACGAGAGGACCGGGAUGGACGAACCUCUGGUGCACCAGUUGUCACGCCAGUGGCACAGCUGGGCAGCUAUGUUCGGAUCGGAUAAACGCUGAAAGCAUCUAAGCGUGAAGCCGGCCUUAAGAUAAGAUAUCCCACUGAGUCAAUCAGGUAAGACCCCUUGAAGACUACAAGGUUGAUAGGCACACAGUGUAAGCGGAGUGAUCCGUUCAGCUAGCGUGUACUAAUAGGUCGAGGGCUUGACCCC
rnacentral:rRNA from 1 species